GGGGAUGCAGCUCAGUGAUAGAGCACUUGCCUAUCAUACACAAGGCCCUGGGUUCAAUCCCCAGUACCACCA
rnacentral:tRNA from 1 species